rnacentral:lncRNA from 1 species
GAGAGUGGAGAGAGAACGGGGUGCCUGUGCACGUGUACCUAGAGAUGACCACCUGAGAACGUGGCAAGAAGGUGGCCACCUGCAAACCUAGGAGGGAGUCCUCAGAGGACACUAACCUUGCCAGUGCCUUGAUCUUGGACUUUUAGCCUCUAGAAAUAACUGCAAGAGACUGAAUUCUGCAGAAUUUGAAUAAGCAGAAGCUUCAGAUUAAAGUACAGCCCUGUCAAAACCUUGAGAGAUUCUAAACUAAAAAAAACAGCCAAACCCAUCUGUCUUCUGACCUACAGAACUGUGAGAUAAUAAAUG